rnacentral:rRNA from 1 species
GUGCAGCAGGCGAGAAACUUUACAAUGUGCGAAAGCACGAUAAGGGAACUCUGAGUGCCUCCUAAGGAGGCUGUCCUGAUGUCUAAAAAGCAACAGAAGUAAGGGCUGGGUAAGACCGGUGCCAGCCGCCGCGGUAACACCGGCAGCCCAAGUGGUAGCCACGUUUAUUGGGUCUAAAGCGUUCGUAGCCGGCCAGGUAAGUUCCUUGGUAAAUUUAGCCGCUUAACGGUUAAGCUUUCAGGGAAUACUGCUUGGCUUGGGACUGGGGAGAGGUCAGAGGUACUCCGGGGGUAGGGGUGAAAUCUAUUAAUCCCUGGGGGACCACCGGUAGCGAAGGCGUCUGACCAGACCAGGUCCGACGGUGAGGGACGAAGGCUAGGGGCGCGAACUGGAUUAGAUACCCGCGUAGU